CCUUCGAAAUUUCAUUCCCGUGCUGAUAAGUUUUUCAGCCCCUGUUCAGCACAACCCCAACAAAUCAGCCAUGUUUGUAAAUUAAAUAAGUCCUCUCCUCAGCUGCUAAAUUAAAGUUCAUUACUUUUUGUCCCAUAGGAAAUCUUUGCAGCUUUCUAAUAAUCAACUACCAUAUGAAACUAGCAUAAAACAUAGCAAAAAGGUUAUAGGGAUUUCUCAAGAUAGACACAUUUAUUCAGUGCUUCAGGAAAGUUCAUCUCUAUCAGGCUUUACUGCUUGAAGGUUUGUCAGGUCACAGAGCUCAUAUCUACAAUACUCCUUAAUGAGUAUUUCAAGGAAAGUGCAGCAGGGAACACUUUCCUGGGAAAAAAACUCUAUGCCAAAAAUUGGUUAAGGACAGGCAAGGAGGAGCAAAGCAAAACAUCUGUGGAGAGAAAAGUCAACAAAUUUCGAGAGCCAAAGUGUCGUUUGUUCUAAAAUCAUAGAGGUCAGGUUAAGGAAUCCUCUCUGCAGGAUCAUAAGUACCAGUUGGGAGCCAAGUACAAAGGAAAGGCAAAGAGGGAGCAUCUGCACAACAUAAAAUCUGCCUGUUUGCAGCCUUAUGAUCAGUUUAACCAUUUCUUCAAGUAACAGAAGAAGCUGAAGAGUAUUAUCUUGCAACCAGGCAAUGAUAAAUGCCAGUUUAUGAUUACACGUAUUUAUCCUCAUCGGAAUAUUACACAAGAGCUAGGAAAUGUAAAUUGAGAUCCCUCUCUGGACUUUAUCAUCUGACUUGAUUAUUAUAGUUUAACUAAACAUCUGUAUACAACUAAAAAAAUUGCCAUUGAAUUAGUUUGUGGGAGGACAUCGCUGUUGUUCAGCACCCAUUAUAAUAAUUUCCUAAGAAAACAGUUUCUUCUCAAAUUUCUUUUCAGUAUGUACAUUCUUGGAGAAGAGGAUUACUGUGUUUUUUUAUUGUUCCUUUCCCCCAGUUCAUUGCUGGUACUGCAAAGUACCAGGCAAUCAGAAUGAUCCUCGUUUCAAGGCACGGCACCACUAAUGUAAUUUUUUCCUAACGU
rnacentral:lncRNA from 1 species